rnacentral:lncRNA from 1 species
UGUAUGUGCAGUUUUAUGAGUGUUGUCCUCCAUACGCCAUUUAACGCGAGACGCACUUGUAGCGAAAAAGUACCGAUAAAAGAAGUUUUCUCGAAUAGAAGAAACAUUUUACUGGAAAAAAAUACUAAAUUAAAAAAAAAAGAAUUUGCUAAAAUUUCAACAAAAGAUAUUAAUGAGAAAUAAAUUGAAAUUGUGAACAAAAAGUGUUAGUAAAUUAAUAAGCAAAAAAAAGGAAGGAAAAUUUACAAUGGAAAUGUGUAAAAAUGCAAUUGUAUCGUCGUACAAAAUAUAUCGAUGAAAUUUUCAUAUUGAAGCAAAAAAUUAUUAAUGUGAUUUGUCUUCGUCGUCCUCGUUGUUGUCGUCUUCUUCGUUAUUAUAGUCAACGUAGUAGUAGUUGUAGAAGUGGACGAGUUAGAGAAGACGAGAAUAAAAUUGUAGUAAAGAAGCAUAUAGGAAAAAUUAACAAAAAAAUAAAAUUACCAAAAAAAAAUUAUCAGAAAUAAACGUAUUCAAAUACAUAAGCAAAUCUGCAACAACAACAAGAAAAACAACAAUAAAUCGAAGAAAUCAACUUUGUAGUGUUGUUAUAGGUUUUUAAAAUACAAAAUUUUUUCGUGCGGUGUAAAGUGGGGUAAAGCUCACAAAGUAUUUGUGUAUAUGUGAUAAAGAGAGAGAGAGAGAACGAGAGUUGAAAUAAAAGAAAAAAGUGUACUAGCAAACAAACAGAAAAAAAGAAACAAGAAAAAGAAGACAAAUCUGUAAAAAACAUUCAAAAUUAUUUAGUGGAAGUAGCUAGAAAAAAGAGAAUUGAAAAUAAAAGAAGUUUAAUUUUUAAAGGGCGAGGGAAACAGUAAAAAAGAAGAGCACUACCACCAACUACCAUAAUAAUAAUAAUAAUGACAACAAUAAUAAUAAAAAAGUAAAAGAAGCAGCAGCCUCAGUUUUAUUAUAAAAAAUGUGAAAAAAUUGCAAAAAAACAAAUUAAAAUAUAAAAUCAGGAAAUAAAUAACGCAAAAAUCUAAUACAAACGUAAAAGUUGAAAAAAAAGCUAUUUAAACUAAUUUUUUAUUAAUAACUAAGAAAAAACAAAAAAAGUUGAAACCUAAUUCACGUUGAAAAAAAAACGCGCCUUUUAGCUUUUCAAAACCACUGUCAAAUCUAAUUAAUUAAAAUAACAAAAACAACCACAAAAGAAAUUGAUUUUUUAUAAAAUAUCUUUACUGUUUAAUAACAACAGCAACAAAUCAUAAACCACGUUUGGAGUUUUAUUGCUGCAAUUAUAACACUUUUGGUCUACAAUAUUUAACAAAUGCUAAAUAUUUCUUCUUAAAUACAUUUGUUGUAUUUAUCUUUAAAAAUAGAUACCAAGUUUGCGAAAUACACGCACACACACACACAACAAAACCAUUAGCGAAAAAAAACAAACGUCACACAACCAAAAAGGGGGAAAUUGGUGUGAGUGAAAGAGUGAACAAAUCAACACCAUAGAAAUAACAACAAAAACAUAAAGCAGAAAAAAAUAACACACAUACAGCGAAAAAAAAACAACAUACGAGGUGGUUGUUCAACAAAAAAGUAGCGAAUACGAAGAAGAAGCAGCAGCAACCACAGCAACAACAAAAGUAGUAAUAAAAAACAACAACAAUAUUAUACAAAAUACACAAGCAAAAGAAACGGUAAAACGAAGAAGCAGCAGCAGCAGAUACAAGAAGACAAAUAUGAACUAAAUUUGUUGUUUUAUUUUCUUGUAUUUCUGAACGAAAA